rnacentral:rRNA from 1 species
AGUGAACGCUGGCGGUAGGCCUAACACAUGCAAGUCGAACGGCAGCACAGUAAGAGCUUGCUCUUACGGGUGGCGAGUGGCGGACGGGUGAGGAAUACAUCGGAAUCUACUUUUUCGUGGGGGAUAACGUAGGGAAACUUACGCUAAUACCGCAUACGACCUACGGGUGAAAGCAGGGGAUCUUCGGACCUUGCGCGAUUGAAUGAGCCGAUGUCGGAUUGGCUAGUUGGCGGGGUAAAGGCCCACCAAGGCGACGAUCCGUAGCUGGUCUGAGAGGAUGAUCAGCCACACUGGAACUUAGACACGGUCCAAGCUCCUACGGGAGGCAGCAGUGGGGAAUAUUGGACAAUGGGCGCAAGCCUGAUCCAGCCAUACCGCGUGGGUGAAGAAGGCCUUCGGGUUGUAAAGCCCUUUUGUUGGGAAAGAAAAGCAGCAGGUUAAUACCCCGCUGUUCUGACGGUACCCAAAGAAUAAGCACCGGCUAACUUCGUG